rnacentral:rRNA from 1 species
GACGAACGCUGGCGGCGUGCCUAAUACAUGCAAGUCGAGCGAGCGGAACCAACAGAUUUACUUCGGUAAUGACGUUGGGAAAGCGAGCGGCGGAUGGGUGAGUAACACGUGGGGAACCUGCCCCUAAGUCUGGGAUACCAUUUGGAAACAGGUGCUAAUACCGGAUAAUAAAGCAGAUCGCAUGAUCAGCUUUUGAAAGGCGGCUUCGGCUGUCGCUCUUAGAUGAUCCCGCGGCGUAUUAGUUAGUUGGUGGGGUAAAGGCCUACCAAGACCAUGAUACGUAGCCGACCUGAGAGGGUGAUCGGCCACACUGGGACUGAGACACGGCCCAGACUCCUACGGGAGGCAGCAGUAGGGAAUCUUCCACAAUGGGUGAAAACCUAGAUGGAGCAAUGCCGCGUGAAUGAAGAAGGUACUUCGGUAUCGUAAAGUUACUGUUAUUAGAGAAGAACAAGUCAA